ensembl:lncRNA
UAGCAACAUUCCCAAGCCAAAGUCCAGAAAAAUCAUACCUCUCCGAAUUUACCAUCCUGCAGUUCUGAAUCCGCCUUGUAGCCAAGGGGUCUCCGCGGUGCUGGAGAUGUUCAUAUGUUCCCGGGUUUCGGCACCAUAUGUCCCGCGCGCUCUGUAUUUCUCGCCAGCAAGAAAUCAUACACGGGACACUUGGAUCCUUCUGCAGACAAGCUUUAAUACAUCUUACCAGAGUGGAGACCCAAAACCAAGAAAACCAUCCCUUAUAAAGGCUGACCAGCCGCCUGGGACAUGUUACCCUAUGAAUGGCUUUAGCUCCUCAGGCCAAAAUGAGCCACGGGAUAGGCAGAGAUCAAAGGAAUGGAGAUUACCCAGCGCCUGUGAAGUAAUUUACAUCUUGGUGUCUUCAGGCACCUAUUAUUGUAAUGGAUAAUGCAGGAACCGGCUUCCUACAGUGAAUUAGGCCUGACAACUCUUCCCUGAUUGAUUUCAUCUCUUCAGUCAAAUUGAGUCCAGUUGGUUCUCUAUAAAUUCUGGCUAAAGCCCAUAGAAGACAGUAGAACCACCUCAGGAGCCAAAAGAUUCCAGAGCCUGGUUCCCAGCUCCAGCUGAACCUGGCCUCAGGGGAAGAGGCCUGAAAGAAGACUUCAGGAUCCAGUUCCCAGUCAGCUCACUCAGCAGAGAAGAAAUGCUAUGUUACCUUUAAGCCUCACGGGAAAUGCUGGUCCCUGGCAACCAACGCUUCUGCCCUGGACCGUCAGUCCCUAGGACUCAACCAAUGGCUACAGGAAGUGGGGGGGGGUGAGGGGUAGUCUCAGUCAUCCUCAGCAUCUGAGACACAAAACUUCUGCUUCAGCUGCAGACAGGAAUUAACUCCAGCAGCUGCUUCCAGCCUCCAAAAGUGAUAACAUUCCCCAAGGUUGCCUGGAGAAAUGGCAUGUGCCUUUAAUUCCAACACUGGGUAGAGGCAGAGGGCAGAGGGCAGAGGGCAGAGGGCAGAGGGCAGAGGGCAGAGAGCAGAGAGCAGAGGCAGAGGCAGAUGGAUUUAUGAAUUGGAGGACAUCCUCAUCUGAUAGUGAGUUGUAGGCCAGCCAGCUGUACAUAGUAAGACCCCUAUGUCAAAACAAACAAGCAAGCAGACAACAAUCUAACAAAAACUUCAAACAAAUCACAAAACAUUUCUCAGAGCAAACAUCUCUCAGAGCUUUCAUGGCUCCCAGAAAGCAUCCCACUGCUAACAAGAGUUCAAAUCUGUUUUAUUUAUAUCUUGUGGAGUAAUAUUCAAGUUGUUUCUACCCUGUUUAAAGUUGUUAAUCACAGAUUGAUAAAAACAUAACCCCUGUUUGUAUUUUUGAUGUCUGUGAAUGCCAACCUUGAAGUGGAAAAGAGCCAGGAUGAAGACAAGAUGGUCUCCACUGACCACUGCUAUACUAGUCUAGGAGGCAACUGAACAUUAAUUAUUUAGUUAGACAUUUUCAUUUAUGGCUCUAGUCCCUCUCCCCAGAUUCAAAUUUUUGAGCCCCUUGUAAAUUGAGUGUAAGUCUCAGCUACAAUAUGACCUCUGUCUUCAUGAAGUUUUUGACCUUUCUGGAGGAAGUGAAACAUGUAAAUAAAAAUUUAAAGUAUGAUAAAGGAAAAACAGACACUCUUUUUUGGGGAAAUAAUGCACACACAGAGAAAAGUACUGGUGAAACACCAGCUGUAUAAAGGUAAAAAGGCAGUAACAGUAACUGUGAGGUUGGUAGAACAGGAUGUCAGUAACACCACCAGGGAAAAAAAAGCAUGACAAGAAGGAGAUGAGACCAGUUUCUGUUUCAUUCAAGAAAGCACAAGUGAAUCAAUACACUCUUGCAAGAGCAAGAAUAAUCUAUAUUGUAGGCUGUAGGGCAUCUUGACUCAAUAGCUGAUUAGUCUAAAGCAGCAUUGUUAUUUUUCUCUGAAGCAAUGUCACCAGUGACACCCGAGUUUGCUUGAUGAAGAUAAAGGAAGCAAAAUAAGAGGAAAUGGAAGCAAUGCCAGAUGAAUGGAGGGGACAUCAUUUAGGAAUAACUCUUAGCCCAUUAAUUGUUGAACUGAGUCACCUCCACC